rfam:Oryza nivara chromosome 2, whole genome shotgun sequence.
AAAAAGACAAACCUAGUUUCCGUGUCUAAUAUUUAACCGUUCGUCUUAUUUAAAAAAAUAUAAAAAAAAUUAAAAAAACAAGUCACACAUAAAAUAUUAAUCAUAUUUUAUCAUCUAACAACAAUGAAAAAUAUGAAUUAUAAAAAAAUUUUAUAUAAGACAAAUAGUUAAAGUUGGACACGAAAACCUAUAGUUUGCUUUUUU